rnacentral:miRNA from 1 species
UGAAUGUUAUGAAGGCCCAUGGC